UUUAGCAGCUAUAUCACCCUGCAACUCACAACUGGCAACCCCUGAAGCUAAGCAGGUGUGAGCCUGGUCAGUACCUGGAUAAGAGACCUCCUGGGAAAGAAACUAAGGUUGCUGCUGGAA
rnacentral:rRNA from 1 species